rnacentral:tRNA from 1 species
GCCGUGACUCAGUGGCAGAGCAUCUGGUUUCCAUGCAGACGGUCCCAGGUUCCACGCCUGGCAUCUCCA